rnacentral:rRNA from 1 species
AGUGGAAGCGUCUGGAAAGGUGCGCGAUACAGGGUGACAGCCCCGUACACAAAAGCGCAUGUGCUGUGAGCUCGAUGAGUAGGGCGGGACACGUGGUAUCCUGUCUGAAUAUGGGGGGACCAUCCUCCAAGGCUAAAUACUCCUGACUGACCGAUAGUGAACCAGUACCGUGAGGGAAAGGCGAAAAGAACCCCGGCGAGGGGAGUGAAAAAGAACCUGAAACCGUGUACGUACAAGCAGUGGGAGCAC